rnacentral:lncRNA from 1 species
AAAGAGCGAGACUUUGUCUCAAAUAAAUACAUAAAUAAACAGAACAGAACAAAAACACCUCUUGGGACCCGGUUCUUCUCCCUCUGAACUGGUGCCCCCUUCAAAUCACUGACUGUAUACAAGCACCAAGAAGAAUGUGACACGAACGCCAGAGUCCUCAGAUGAAUGCCCUGGCUGUAAUGAGCAGUAGGCACUGUCACAUGGCCACCCAUGGAGGGCCUGUGGCCUGACGGGAGCGGGAGGGCAGCUCGGCAGCCCGCCUUAGCGUGGGCACUCACACGGAGCUGCCACUUGUAGUUUCUACGAAGCUCUGGGCUCUCCGCUCUGUUUUAAAAAGAAAAGAAACAUUGCAAUAUCAG